CCUAACACAUGCAAGUCGAACGGUAACAGGAAGAAGCUUGCUUCUUUGCUGACGAGUGGCGGACGGGUGAGUAAUGUCUGGGAAACUGCCUGAUGGAGGGGGAUAACUACUGGAAACGGUAGCUAAUACCGCAUAACGUCGCAAGACCAAAGAGGGGGACCUUCGGGCCUCUUGCCAUCGGAUGUGCCCAGAUGGGAUUAGCUAGUAGGUGGGGUAACGGCUCACCUAGGCGACGAUCCCUAGCUGGUCUGAGAGGAUGACCAGCCACACUGGAACUGAGACACGGUCCAGACUCCUACGGGAGGCAGCAGUGGGGAAUAUUGCACAAUGGGCGCAAGCCUGAUGCAGCCAUGCCGCGUGUAUGAAGAAGGCCUUCGGGUUGUAGAGUACUUUCAGCGGGGGGGAAGGGAGUAAAGUUAAUACCUUUGCUCAUUGACGUUACCCGCAGAAGAAGCACCGGCUAACUCCGUGCCAGCAGCCGCGGUAAUACGGAGGGUGCAAGCGUUAAUCGGAAUUACUGGGCGUAAAGCGCACGCAGGCGGUUUGUUAAGUCAGAUGUGAAAUCCCCGGGCUCAACCUGGGAACUGCAUCUGAUACUGGCAAGCUUGAGUCUCGUAGAGGGGGGU
rnacentral:rRNA from 1 species